GUCAAGUAAUUAAGUGCAUGUGGUGGAUGCCUUGGCAGUCAGAGGCGAUGAAAGACGUGAUAGCCUGCGAAAAGCUCCGGGGAGGCGGCAAAUAUCCUUUGAUCCGGAGAUGUCUGAAUGGGGGAACCCACCUACUUUAAGGUAGGUAUUGCAACAUGAAUACAUAGUGUUGCAAGGCGAACGAGGGGAAGUGAAACAUCUCAGUACCCUUAGGAAAAGAAAUCAAUUGAGAUUCCCUCAGUAGCGGCGAGCGAACGGGGAUCAGCCCAUUAAGUUAUGUGUGUUUUAGUGGAACGCUCUGGGAAGUGCGAACGUAGAGGGUGAUAUUCCCGUACACGAAAGGGCACACAUAAUGAUGACGAGUAGGGCGAGGCACGUGAAACCUUGUCUGAAUAUGGGGGGACCAUCCUCCAAGGCUAAAUACUCCUGACUGACCGAUAGUGAACCAGUACCGUGAGGGAAAGGCGAAAAGAACCCCUGUGAGGGGAGUGAAAUAGAUCCUGAAACCGCAUGCAUACAAGCAGUGGGAGCACCUUCGUGGUGUG
rnacentral:rRNA from 1 species